UACGUAGGGUGCAAGCGUUGUCCGGAAUUAUUGGGCGUAAAGAGCUCGUAGGCGGUUUGUCGCGUCUGCUGUGAAAACCCGAGGCUCAACCUCGGGCCUGCAGUGGGUACGGGCGAGACUAGAGUGGCGGUAGGGGAGAUUGGAAUUCCUGGUGGUAGCGGUGGAAUGCGCAGAUAGUCAAGGAGGAACACCGAUGGCGAAGGC
rnacentral:rRNA from 1 species